rnacentral:lncRNA from 1 species
CGCGAAAGAAAGUUAGUAAGUUUUAUUUUAAGCUGACAUAUGAUAUACAUAAUACCAGACAACAAAUGAGCACCAUUCGAGAGCUCUUUAACCGACUAUCGCAUGUAUCGAAAAUGUUGCGGUUUAAAUAUUUUCUAUAAAUGUACAGGUUUUGAAAUUUUCUUGUUAAAACUGGUCAGGGAAUUCUUCUUGACCCUUCAGCGUGUACAUUCAUAAACGGUCAGUAGAACAC